UUUAAGUGUUUCUGAAGCUGAAAGAUGAGUAGAAAAAGUGAAAUUAAUAAAGAAACGUAGACUGGUGAAUUUGCAUCAAUUCUCUGGAAAACGAAAGGUAUAUUUUGUCUAUAAAAUAUUUGGUGAUUUCAAUUUAAAAAAAAAACAGGAACAACAAUCUUGUUGGUCAGUGUAACGCAUUUCUACUGUCACAAAUAACAACCAACUACAAAAUGAACAGAUCAGUGACAAUAUCCAAACCAGAAUUAGCAAUAGGGUGUUGCCAAAGGAUUGUUAGUCACAUCUGGGAUAUUCGGUUUCACGCGAGGUUCGAAAGCGGCUCUUGAGAAGAACGCUGACCAAACUAUAGAGGAUUUUUCACAAAUUAUAAAUUGCAGUGAACACACAUUCAGAAUCCAGCAGCGAUCUAGAGGAUGAUCAAGAAUUAGAUGAGGGCGGUAAUAAAUCCGACACAAAUUAUAAUUCUAUUGAAGAUUCUAACGCAGAAUCCAGUUCUGCUGGAAAAAAAAAAGAAUCAGCCAAUUGAAAUUUCAUUUUCUAGCAGGAAACGCCCAGCUGAGCAAGAUUGCAGUAAACUUUCAGCAGGAGCUAAAAACAAGUAUGUUCAAACCCCCUAUUAUAGCGCUGUCAAUUAGUUGAUUUCCAUUGCCAGCUUUUUAAAUGAAUGCUUCUUGAUAUCACAUUUUUUAUGUUAAAUUUCAGUAUCAAGUUGAUGAAGUGGACCAAUCCAAAACCAUAGCCAAUUUGACAAGUAUUC